UUUAAAAAUGCUUAAUUUGUCCGAGAAGUUCACUCGACAAACGAUACACUACAAAAAAACGCAGGAUCGACAUACUCUCGUAAAAAUGCUGAGUACCGGGCUUUCAGGUGUGGCUUUCUAUACAAUUUAGCUUCCAAAUUACUGAAACGACAACGAGCCGGGCAAUAGGAAUCUAGAGAUUCAAAUCCUGAAGUAGACAAGAGGAGAACAUAGGAUUGACCAUUCCCAAGUCAAGUACAAUAUUCAUUAAAAAGUUGCUCGCAUCGCAAAUCUUCCGAAAACAUAGAUGGCUUUGACGAAGUUAAGUCUUUGAUUUCCCAAAAUCGCUUUAUUAUUGGGAUAAGUGAGUCAUCAUCAAAAUAAUCACAGGGUCCUUGACAAAGGCUGCUAAAACCGAUUUAUGAAUUGGCAUACUGGACAUUCCUACAGAUGCUUUCCAACCUCGUUUGACGUUUGCAACGUCCUGUCCAAAUGAAUUUGUCCCAUAAUCCAUGUUUCACUGAGCUCCCGAAGACCCCUACUUCUCGACACCUUUUAAACCAAAUAUUACCUGAACGUGUGCCGGAAAAAGUAAAACUUUAGUAUCAAAAUCAAAGCAAAUUGAAAGCCGUUUUAUAAUUGGCAUUCGAGGGUUCGAGCGAGCGUAAAGUCUCCAGUGUCACGUCGCCUAAACUCUACCGUGGAUUGGGUAAUCAAUCAGAAUAGAAUCCAUUAAUUCGAGCAAUUUCCAGAUUUGGAAACAGAUGCUUCAUAGAUCGAAAAGAUAGAUCCGCAAAAUUAGUAAUGUUGAAAGAUGUUGAAUUGGCAGCGGUUGAAGCCGGCCAUUAUUUCAGCUUCAUUAAACUGAUUAACCGAUUCAGCGUUUAAAUAAAAUUGCAUCGAAUUUAUUUGCCGCAAAAUAGUCAGUCAAUGGU